CGCCACCAACCUGGGAGGCCCGCCGGGAGGAGGCUGCGGUCCGGCCUCUUCGAAAGGGCCUGCCUCCGGCCCCAGGGGCUGUGGUGACAGUGCUGAGCCUCCCCUGGAGGAGUGUCGCCCUCCCUAGGGGGCGGGGGCUGCAGCCUGGCUGGCCCUGCUCUGGGCCCCAGCUGAUGACUGAGUCGCCGACUUCUGCUGAUCCGUGGGAAGCAGAGAGGACGGGGAGCGGGGAGUGGUUUCUCUUCCCAGCCUCUGCUCCGGGGGAGCUCUGGACGCCAGGGGGGGGGGUUGGAGGCGCUGGGUCCUGGCGGGGCUCCGGGGCCAGGCCACCUGCCCCUCUCACCCGUUUCACACCUCGUCACUGUUCGUCCGGACACCUGUCCGCAGCCCGGACCCCGGGGCCCCGCUGACAACGGAGAAGCUCGAGGCCUGUGGCCCGGGAACCCCUGGGCGGGCGCUCCUGGCAGCGGCUCCCAGGACGCGGGCUUCAAGGUCAGGCUGACGCUGGCCGACCUUGAGAGCCCCCCAGCUCUCGGCAGGCUCAGCGAGCUCCAUCCCAUUAAGAAGCCGUUAGGAGCGCCAUCUGGUUCACUGCGCCCCGCUCCGCGAUCGAUGGCCGCUGGGCCAGUCUGAGCCCGGGGACCGGCGCUGCAAGGACUCCUUCAAUCUGCACAGCGACCGUGAAGCAGGGCUGUCCUUGAUCCCAUCUUGCCGCUGGGAAAGGAGGCACAGAGAGGUCAAGCACUCACCCAAGGCCACCCAGCUGCCUUGAAAGGAAGGCAGCGAAAGGAGAGCUCACCCAUUUCACAGAGGAGGAAAUCAAGACCCAGAGCAGUGGAUGUGAGCCUGCCGACUGCCUCCAGAGCUCACGUCUUGUCCCAAUGGAUGGAACAUCCUCAACUAUUUAACUCGGCGUUGAGGGGCUACCACCUACAGAGUCUCGUCGGACAACCAGGAGGAUGCAGAUCCACGGGGAAUACAGAACCAUUGGAAGCAUCCAGAGAGGGGCACCCGGAGGGCUCAGCCUUGAGCGUCUGCCUUGGGCUCAGGGCAUGACCCUGGGGUCCCGAGAUCGAGUCCCACGUCGGGCUCCCUGCAUGGAGCCUGCUUCUCCCUCUGCCUGUGUCUCUGCCUCUCUCUCUCUCUC